UUGGAAGUCAGGAUUUUAAGGUACUAACUUAAUACCUGAAGAUUCUGCCAACCAAAGGGCACCAUUCACAUCUUUGAAAGAGAAAUCCUAUUACUGGAGAAAUAGACCCACCAGAUAAAGUUUGAGAGAUCCAACAUACACGCAAGGAUGAUAGAGGAGAAUUGGUGUGAGUGGAUCCACAAUCCCAACAAAUUCAUGGUCAACUCCAAGAAGUUGUCACUCAGCAACAAUCUGAAGAGAUCGAGCAUCCUAUGACUAGAGAUGAGAUUUUAUCCACUGUUCUUGGUGAGAGAACAGGUUAUGUUCGCGGAAAAGGAUACGGAAAGAAGCCUCCUAAAAAGAGUAAUAUGCAGCAGGCAAGCAUAGAGUCCAGCGUGUCUUUCGCUAUGGAAAUUAUGCAUCAAAAGAUGCAAGCCGAUAUGGAUAGAAAGUUGCAAGAAUAACGUGAACAAAUGGUUGCUCAGUUGCAAAGAAAUAUGGAACUUGAGUUGCAAAGGAAGUUGGCAGAGGAGCGUGAACAGUCAAGUGUAGAAAUAGACAAGAGGAUCCAUCUAGAAGUGGACAAGAGGAUGCAUGAACAAUUUGCUAGUUUGAUGACCAGAAUGCUACAACAGCAGGGACAAUGCACUUAAACAAUGGUAUCGUGCAAGGAUGGUGUCGACCAAGGAGCAGUUACAAGACACUUAAUAUUUUGUCUUUUUUGAGAUAUGUAUAUGCGUACAAUUAUAUUA